rnacentral:tRNA from 1 species
GUCAGGAUGUCCGAGCGGUCUAAGGCGCCAGACUCAAGUUCUGGUCCACGAAUGUGGGCGUGGGUUCAAAUCCCACUCCUGACA